rnacentral:misc_RNA from 1 species
GAUGAAGAACGCAGCAAAAUACGAUAAGUAAUGUGAAUUGCAGAAUUCAGUGAAUCAUCGAAUCUUUGAACGCACAUUGCGCCCGCCAGUAUUCUGGCGGGCAUGCCUGUUCGAGCGUCAUUUCAACCCUCAAGCUCAGCUUGGUGUUGGGACUCGCGGUAACCCGCGUUCCCCAAAUCGAUUGGCGGUCACGUCGAGCUUCCAUAGCGUAGUAAUCAUACACCUCGUUACUGGUAAUCGUCGCGGCCACGCCGUAAAACCCCAACUUCUGAAUGUUAACCUCGGAUCAGGUAGGAAUACCCGCUGAACUUAAGCAUAUCAAUAAGCGGAGGA